rnacentral:rRNA from 1 species
CCUACGGGAGGCAGCAGUCGAGAAUCAUUCACAAUGGGGGAAACCCUGAUGGUGCGAAGCCGCGUGGGGGAAUGAAGGUCUUCGGAUUGUAAACCCCUGUCAUGUGGGAGCAAAUCAAAAAACGAGUACCCCAAGAGGCAGUAACGGCUUACAAAGGACCAGCAGACGCGGUAAUACAGAGGUCUCAAGCGUUGUUCGGAAUAACUGGAGGUGAAGCUAGCGGGGGCUGUUUCGUAAGACUGGUGGUAAAGGCGCGGGGUCAAACCUCGGACGGCACAUGAUACUGCGGUACUAGAGUAAGGGAGGGGUAUCCGGAAUGCGCGGUGUAGCAGUGAAAUGCGUAGAUAUCGAGAGGAACUCUCGUGGCGAAGGCGGGUUCCUGGACAUUAACUGACGCUGAAGCACGAAGGCCAGGGGAGCGAAAGGGAUUAGAUACCCGUGUAGUC